rnacentral:rRNA from 1 species
AUUGAACGCUGGCGGCAGGCUUAACACAUGCAAGUCGAACGAGUGGCGGACGGGUGAGUAAUGCUUGGGAAUCUAGCUUAUGGAGGGGGAUAACUACGGGAAACUGUAGCUAAUACCGCGUACCAUAGGAUGAGCCCAAGGGGGAUUAGGUAGUUGGUGAGGUAAAGGCUCACCAAGCCGACGAGCUCUAGCUGGGCUGAGAGGAUGACCAGCCUAACGGGGACUGAGAAGCGGCCCAGACUCCUACGGGAGGCAGCAGUGGGGAAUAUUGCGCAAUGGGGGCAACCCUGCCGCAGCCAUGCCGCGUGAAUGAAGAAGGCCUUAGGGUUGUAAAGUACUUUCAGCGGGGAGGCGUUACCCGAAGAAGAAGCACCGGCUAACUCCGUGCGAGCCGCCGCGGUAAUAC